rnacentral:rRNA from 1 species
AGGACGAACGCUGGCGGCGUGCUUAACACAUGCAAGUCGAACGGAAAGGCCCUUUCGGGGGUACUCGAGUGGCGAACGGGUGAGUAACACGUGGGUGAUCUGCCCUGCACUUCGGGAUAAGCUUGGGAAACUGGGUCUAAUACCGGAUAGGACUACGGACUUCAUGGUUUGUGGUGGAAAGCUUUUGCGGUGUGGGAUGGGCCCGCGGCCUAUCAGCUUGUUGGUGGGGUGAUGGCCUACCAAGGCGACGACGGGUAGCCGGCCUGAGAGGGUGUCCGGCCACACUGGGACUGAGAUACGGCCCAGACUCCUACGGGAGGCAGCAGUGGGGAAUAUUGCACAAUGGGCGCAAGCCUGAUGCAGCGACGCCGCGUGGGGGAUGACGGCCUUCGGGUUGUAAACCUCUUUCAGCAGGACGAAGCGAAAGUGACGGUACCUGCAGAAGAAGCGCCGGCUAACUACGUGCCAGCAGCCGC